rnacentral:rRNA from 1 species
GAUCCUGCUCAGGAUGAACGCUAGCGGCAGGCUUAACACAUGCAAGUCGAGGGGCAGCGGGGUGUAGCAAUACACCGCCGGCGACCGGCGCACGGGUGAGUAACGCGUAUGCAACUUGCCUAUCAGAGGGGGAUAACCCGGCGAAAGUCGGACUAAUACCGCAUGAAGCAGGGAUCCCGCAUGGGAAUAUUUGCUAAAGAUUCAUCGCUGAUAGAUAGGCAUGCGUUCCA